GUCUGUGUUCCAGUUCAUCCCAAAGCUGUUGGACGGGGUUGAGGCCAGGACUACAGUAUCUAUUUUUCAGCUCUGGACCCAUACGUUCUCUUAAAUAAUAAUCUUUCUGCUUUACUUCCAACAUUUUUAUCAAUGUGAGAGACUUGGAGCUCCUGUUUUUUCUGCUUUUGUGUGUCAAGUGUGUUCUGAGUUUCUCUGCACCCCCAUCACCAAGACGACGUCCUGCACAUUUCCUGCACUUGAGUGAAUAACUGAACAAAAAGGAUCUUGAAGCAACCUUCCCGUUUUAGCAGAAAAUUGACAGAGAGAGAGAGAGAGAGAGAAAAAAAGAGAGAGAGUCUGCGCGCCAUGGAAACACUGCCGCUGUGUUUUUCUCAAUGAAAGAUCAACAAGUCCUUUUAUGGACUUCCUUCCUCAGUGGGGACAGAUGAUUGAGAUAAAAAAAAGAUGAAGGGAAGAGAGAGAGAGAGCAGGUGGAAGGAAGGAGGGAGAGAAAAAAAGGGAAAAGAUGCAGAUGUGAAGAAUGGUCUGAUUAGCCACCUGUCGUUCGUCAUUCAGACCUGUAAUCAGCUCGUGGCCACGAGUUACCACCUGUUAUUAUUAUGGUCUGUCGGAUGUAAGCGAGACGGGGCACGCUGUAAAAGAUGAUGAGCUCAGCCAGAGAUUUUUAACGGAUGUGAAGACGUUUCCAGGUGACAGUGUCUCAGCCUGUUGACGGGGGGUUUCGCUGCCGUCCGUCUCCAGAUGUCAACUGCCACGUGGAUGUUGAAGGAAUAUCCAGUCGAUGGCAAUUAAAGAGUUUGCAUAUAUGUUCAAUAGGAACUCAGUUGGCGAGCUGAAGCGAUUAGUCGAUUAAUUGUUCAGGGCAAUUUCCAAGCAAAAAUGCCACAUUUUCUCUGUUUCGCUUCUCAGUUGUGAGGAUUUGCUGCUCUGUUGUCUUGUGAAAUAAUAAACUGAAUAUUUUAUGGUUUUAGGAAAUUGUGAUGAUUUUUCACACAAUUUUUGACCAAACCAUUAAAUCGAUCCAUCGAGAAAAGAAUUGGCGAAGUUUAUAUACAGUGGCAGCCACUCAGGACCAACCAAAGGCCUCUCGGCUGCCAACUCCCAGCCAAUGGGAGUCUCCCCCCUUCCUCCCGUCUCCUGACAGGCGUGUCUAGAGUCCACUGUAAACACGCCCAUUCAUUCAAUGUCUUGGCCCUAACAUGGCCCGACUGGCAUUUCUAGGCGGCUGGAUCUGUAUGGACCUUCUUGGUCACGUGUCGAGUAUACCCGACGACGUUGUCGCUGUACUACACAAAUGUUUUUGGGAGCAUCAAGUCAGUGCACCAUUUUUGUCAGAACAAACCGGAUAAGUCAGGGUUCAGAACCAGAUGUCCACGGAUCCUGAAACCGAGCUCUCUCCCUGCAUCAUUUUUGCAGCCUGGAGCUAUUUCCAGAUGUUAAUGGAAGGGUUGCCCCACCAACCGUUGCCACGCCGACCAGCCAAACACAGAACGGUGCUGAGCGACUCGUUGCCAGGGCAACUGUACUCUGACAACUCAAGUUCUCAGUUUCUGAGGGUGAAGUAGCAGCAUGCCGACCGAAAACUUCUUUACUUUGUUUUCCUCUCUCUCUCUUUCCAUCAACAAACUUGUGAGACUGACGUUUUUAUUUUGUCAUUUCUCCGGAGCUUUUCCUCCAUUAUUCUUCCUCCAACUCCCCAUAAGCCCUCUUUAUCUCUUCCCCUUUUUCCUCUUAGCCAUCUUUACUUUUCUUUUUUCCUCUGCUGUAUCUCCAUCCAUUUCAACCACUCUCCUUUUCACACACCCAUCUUUUCUCACCUUUCCUCCAUCCAUCCCACAUCUGUCCAUCUUUACUUUGCCUUGAAUGCCUCUCCCUCCCUCAUUAUCUCUUUCCACCUUUCCGUCUCUCUCCCGUCACUGCUGUUUCUUUCUUUCUUUCCAUUUGCUGUUUUAAUUUCUUUUUACUCCACUUGUACUUUUUCUUCCUUCCACUUGGCUGGAGUCGCUCUAAAAAUAAAAGCCUCUCAGACGCUGAUUGAUUGGAGGCUCUCAGGACUCCCGUGGUGGGCGACAGAGAACGAGAAAGGAAAGAGAGCGAACUAAAGAAAAACAGAUAGGAGGGAGGAGAGCAGAUGAUGGAGAGCCAAGGUGCGAGGGAUGAAAGAGACAAACGAAGAAAUGGACGAGGAGAGGGAGGAAAAUGAAAUGUGAGUGAAACAAACAUGACAAGCACAAGGGAAGGAUGGGAAUUCAGAAACGAAAGAGGAAAAAGGAAGAAAGAAAAAGGAAGACUUCAUCUGCAAAAGUGAUGGACGGAGAAGAAGACAGAAGGCAUAAAAAGAAAGAUGAAGUGAUAAAGAAAGCCUAAACUGCCCUAUCACAAUCCCACCACCUGAGAAGUUUCCAACUUUUAGUCUGUGAAAUGUUCUGUAAAUUUCAUCUUGAUAAAUGACAAAAGCAUUUUAAAUGCUGUUCACACUGCUAGAGUCUAAUCCUUAUAUCUGCUUAUAACUACAGUGUGUUAGAAAUGAUUUACUAAAUAUUAUACUUAGUGUUUCCUCCUACAGUUUUAAUGCGACCUUGACAAUUAAUGGCAAGUUGUGUGCAAUACUUUGUAGAUAGCUGCUAAAACUGUUUUUAUUGAUUACUGUUAUACUUUAUGAAUUAUUAAUAUUUAAAUCACAACCCCAUAUACAUUAAUAAUACGAGUUUCCCCUCGGAUCAAUAAAGUAUUUCUGAUUCUGA